GAUGAACGCUGGCGGCGUGCUUAACACAUGCAAGUCGAACGAUGAAGCCCAGCUUGCUGGGUGGAUUAGUGGCGAACGGGUGAGUAACACGUGAGUAACCUGCCCUUGACUCUGGGAUAAGCCUGGGAAACUGGGUCUAAUACUGGAUAUGACUUCUCAUCGCAUGGUGGGGGGGGGAAAGAUUUCUGGGUCUUGGAUGGACUCGCGGCCUAUCAGCUUGUUGGGGAGGUAAUGGCUCACCAAGGCGACGACGGGUAGCCGGCCUGAGAGGGUGACCGGCCACACUGGGACUGAGACACGGCCCAGACUCCUACGGGAGGCAGCAGUGGGGAAUAUUGCACAAUGGGCGCAAGCCUGAUGCAGCGACGCCGCGUGAGGGAUGACGGCCUUCGGGUUGUAAACCUCUUUCAGUAGGGAAGAAGCGAGAGUGACGGUACCUGCAGAAGAAGCGCCGGCUAACUACGUG
rnacentral:rRNA from 1 species